UUCAACUUGAUUUUCUAAUUUCUUGUUACUUUUUGUUUUCCCUCAUUCAUAUGUGCAUAACUUUCUAAGAGCAUGGUUCUUUGAUUUUAGUUUUCUUCAAUUAAAGAUGUUACAAAUAUGGAGCAUGAGUAAAUUGCUAAAUCAUCAAGUUCUGCUUUAGCAGUCUGCACGGAAAUGAUCAUAACUGGAGUUUCGGGAGUCCGAUUGAGGCGUUCUAAUAAUCGCCGGAAAGCUAAGAGAAAGAGCUACAACUUUUAUGUUGGAGUCAAAGUCAGAAUCGGAACCUAUAUUUCCCAGAAUUGCGUUUGAAGCUGCAGCACUAUUUUAUUUUCAGUUUUUGGGUCGUUUAGUAGUGGGUCUGGUUUUGUCAUUCGACCCAGUUGGGUCAUAAACGUUUUUUGGCUGAUUCCUAAUAGGUCUAGCAGCCGUGUUACUGUUUAUCACGUUUUACUAUUCACAAUUUUGUUUCCACUCUUUUGCUCUGUACGGUAAUGGAGAACUAAACCUCGAGGAUCAAUUCACUGUAAUCAGAUGCCGCUUUGAGGUUCUUUUAUAA